rnacentral:rRNA from 1 species
AUGAAGGUCCUUGGCCUAGACAUGGAUCCCGAAGCUGCUCCUUCGAAGCCCCCGUCCAAGCACAGAGACAGAGGCGACCAAUGCCAAUGUGUCAUUCUAAUAAUUGUCGCAUGUCUGACCUUGGCAGCUUUUGUCUAUGUCGCCGUUCGCCAGCUCAUCGUCGAUCCCGACCUGAAUUUCGGGAGCGCAAAGUUCAGCAUGGAGCCCGUGUCCCACGCCGGGAUAUAUCGCAACGACUCGUCGCCGGCUUUCAACGUCACGCUGCACGCCAGGAGCUCCUACAAGCACAGCUUCUGCAGCGACCACAGAGGCGGGGACGUGCAGGCGGUGUACUCGGGCAUCACCGUCGCCAUGGGCCACGUGCCGCCCUUCUGCGUGGAGCCCAAAGGUUCGAUCGCCAUGACGGCGGCUGCCUCGUCAGGCUGGCUGGCUAUGCCAGCUUCGCUGCAAGAGCGUAUCGACCAUGACAGGAGGAACGGCGGGGUGGAACUGGAGGUCGAUCUCAGCUUCGCCAACGAUAUCAAGGGCUUAGUAUGGGUGCGCUGCCGUGCCAAGUUGGAUGCCACGACCACAUCACCAUGCAAAUCUUUUGGUCUGGGAUACAUUUGUUUGUGA